rnacentral:rRNA from 1 species
AAACCAGCACCUCAAGUGGUCAGGAUGAUUAUUGGGCCUAAAGCAUCCGUAGCCGGCUCUGUAAGUUUUCGGCUAAAUCUGUACGCUUAACGUACAGGCCGCCGGAAAUACUGCAGAGCUAGGGAGUGGGAGAGGUAGACGGUACUCGGGAGGAAGUGGUAAAAUGCUUUGAUCUCUCGAUGACCACCUGUGGCGAAGGCGGUCUACCAGAACACGUCCGACGGUGAGGGAUGAAAGCUGGGGGAGCAAACCGGAUUAGAUACCCGAGUAGUCC